rnacentral:rRNA from 1 species
UACGGAGGGUGCAGGCGUUGUCCGGAAUCACUGGGCGUAAAGGGCGCGUAGGCGGCUCAUGAAGGCUGUGGUGAAAGUCCGGGGCUCAACCUCGGAUCGGCCGUGGCGACUCGUGGGCUGGAGCACUGUAGAGGCGGGUGGAAUUCCGGGUGUAGCGGUGGAAUGCGUAGAGAUCCGGAAGAACACCAGUGGCGAAGGCGAUCAUCUGGGGUUGUUCUGACACUGAGGAGCGAAAGCUAGGGGAGCAAACGGG